rnacentral:rRNA from 1 species
UCAGAACGAACGCUGGGGCAGGCCUAACACAUGCAAGUCGAGCGCUCACUUCGGUGGGAGCGGCGGACGGGUUAGUAACGCGUGGGAACGUACCCUUCUCUACGGAAUAGCCUCGGGAAACUGAGAGUAAUACCGUAUACGCCCUUUGGGGGAAAGAUUUAUCGGAGAAGGAUCGGCCCGCGUUAGAUUAGAUAGUUGGUGGGGUAAUGGCCUACCAAGUCUACGAUCUAUAGCUGGUUUUAGAGGAUGAUCAGCAACACUGGGACUGAGACACGGCCCAGACUCCUACGGGAGGCAGCAGUGGGGAAUCUUAGACAAUGGGCGCAAGCCUGAUCUAGCCAUGCCGCGUGUGUGAUGAAGGCCCUAGGGUCGUAAAGCACUUUCGCCAGGGAUGAUAAUGACAGUACCUGGUAAAGAAACCCCGGCUAACUCCGUGCCAGCAGCCGCGGUAAUACGGAGGGGGUUAGCGUUGUUCGGAAUUACUGGGCGUAAAGCGCGCGUAGGCGGAUCAGAAAGUAUGGGGUGAAAUCCCGGGGCUCAACCUCGGAACUGCCUCAUAAACUACUGGUCUAGAGUUCGAGAGAGGUGAGUGGAAUUCCGAGUGUAGAGGUGAAAUUCGUAGAUAUUCGGAGGAACACCAGUGGCGAAGGCGGCUCACUGGCUCGAUACUGACGCUGAGGUGCGAAAGUGUGGGGAGCAAACAGGAUUAGAUACCCUGGUAGUCCACACCGUAAACGAUGAAUGCCAGUCGUCGGCAAGCAUGCUUGUCGGUGACACACCUAACGGAUUAAGCAUUCCGCCUGGGGAGUACGGUCGCAAGAUUAAAACUCAAAGGAA